UACGUAGGGGGCAAGCGUUGUCCGGAUUUACUGGGCGUAAAGAGCGCGUAGGCGGAGAUCUAAGCGUGGCCUGAAAGCCCCCGGCUCAACCGGGGAGUGCGGCUGCGAACUGGGUUUCUUGAGGACGAUAGAGGAGAGUGGAAUUCCUGGUGUAGCGGUGAAAUGCGUAGAUAUCAGGAGGAACACCCGAGGCGAAGGCGGCUCUCUGGGUCGUACCUGACGCUGAGGCGCGAAAGCGUGGGAGCGAACGGG
rnacentral:rRNA from 1 species